GAUGAACGCUGGCGGCGUGCCUAACACAUGCAAGUCGAGCGGAGAUUACCAACUAGCAAUAGAAAGUAAUCUUAGCGGCGGACGGGUGAGUAACACGUGAGUAACCUGCCUUCAACUGGGGAAUAACACCGUGAAAACGGUGCUAAUACCGCAUAAUGUUGUCUUAUGGCAUCAUAGGACAACCAAAGGAGCAAUCCGGUAGAAGAUGGACUCGCGUCCGAUUAGCUGGUUGGCGGGGUAACGGCCCACCAAGGCGACGAUCGGUAGCCGAACUGAGAGGUUGAUCGGCCACAUUGGGGCUGAGACACGGCCCAGACUCCUACGGGAGGCAGCAGUGGGGAAUAUUGGACAAUGGGCGCAAGCCUGAUCCAGCCAUGCCGCGUGAGUGAAGAAGGCCUUCGGGUUGUAAAGCUCUUUCGGCCGGGAAGAAAUCGCAUGGGUCAAUACCCCGUGUGGAUGACGGUACCGGAAUAAGAAGCACCGGCUAACUACGUG
rnacentral:rRNA from 1 species